AGGACGAACGCUGGCGGCGCGCCUAACACAUGCAAGUCGAGCGAGAACCGGGGCUUCGGUCCCGGGGACAGCGGCGAACGGGUGCGUAACACGUGAGCAACCUGCCCCGAAGACCGGGACAACCCGAGGAAACUCGGACUAAAUACCGGAUGUCCUCACCGGAUCGCAUGGUCUGGUGAGGAAAUGGAUUCCGCUUCGGGAUGGGCUCGCGGUCUAUCAGCUUGUUGGUGGGGUAACGGCCUACCAAGGCGACGACGGAUAGCUGGUCUGAGAGGACGAUCAGCCACACUGGGACUGAGACACGGCCCAGACUCCUACGGGAGGCAGCAGUGGGGAAUCUUGCGCAAUGGGGGAAACCCUGACGCAGCGACGCCGCGUGCGGGAUGAAGGCCUUCGGGUGUAAACCGCUUUCAGCAGGGACGAAAUUGACGGUACCUGCAGAAGAAGGCCCGGCAACUACGUGCCAGCAGCCGC
rnacentral:rRNA from 1 species